CCUACGGGUGGCGGAGGUCGAAAACCUCCUGAAAAUGGCUCUCUCGCAGGAAUUUUACGCUAAAAUUUUUCAUGAUAACGGCAUGGCCCUGAUCCGUUCCCUGACGCGAAAUUCGGAGGCUCCGGAUUCAUACAAACAGCCCUAUUUUGGUUGAAUCCGAUGCUUCAAAAACAUUUGCGCGAAGGUUUUCUGGUUCAUACUUGACUUGACGUGCAGUGUCCAAUCAAUUCCUGUCUUGACAACCGUUUCAUCUACUACUGUUCAGUGGUGGUCAUUCAUUAUAGGGGAGGAUUACCGAUUGAAACCAACAAGGAACGGGCAGAAUACUGACCAAGAAGAGUCCGCACAGACAGAGAAAAAUAGAUACCCUAGUAGUC
rnacentral:rRNA from 1 species